rnacentral:lncRNA from 1 species
ACCGCGGUGCUCCAGGGGUGUGUGGGAAGGGCAGGACAAGGAGCCCAGGAAUAACGUCCAGUCCGAGGGCCCAGGGGCUCAGCGUGCCGGCUCUUCCUGGUGUGUGCUGGGCACUUGCCCUGGCCCUCAGACAAAACAACUGCAGCAGGCCGAAGUUGUCUUUGCUGUUGCCUCCAUUACAGAGGUGUGAUCACCGGACAGUGUGCUGAACAGCUGUACGAACCAGAUGGAAUUGCUCACGUCAACCCCGACAAGGAAUUGAGUCCAGGGCCUUGGCGCAGAGCUGCAUCCUGACCUCUUUGAGGCAGGGCCUGGCUAUGUCAAAUUCCCCAGGCUGGGCUCGAAUGUGAGAUUCUCCUGCCUCAGCCUCCCAGAACCCUAGAAUUACAGGUGUGCAUCACACUUGACUUUGGUUUUCUGCGGUGCUGAGAUCAGAUUCAGGGUUGUGCACAUGCUAAACAAGUG